GGUUAAGCGACUAAGCGUACACGGUGGAUGCCCUGGCAGUCAGAGGCGAUGAAGGACGUGCUAAUCUGCGAUAAGCGUCGGUAAGGUGAUAUGAACCGUUAUAACCGGCGAUUUCCGAAUGGGGAAACCCAGUGUGAUUCGUCACACUAUCAUUAACUGAAUCCAUAGGUUAAUGAGGCGAACCGGGGGAACUGAAACAUCUAAGUACCCCGAGGAAAAGAAAUCAACCGAGAUUCCCCCAGUAGCGGCGAGCGAACGGGGAGCAGCCCAGAGCCUGAAUCAGUGUGUGUGUUAGUGGAAGCGUCUGGAAAGGCGCGCGAUACAGGGUGACAGCCCCGUACACAAAAAUGCACAUGCUGUGAGCUCGAUGAGUAGGGCGGGACACGUGGUAUCCUGUCUGAAUAUGGGGGGACCAUCCUCCAAGGCUAAAUACUCCUGACUGACCGAUAGUGAACCAGUACCGUGAGGGAAAGGCGAAAAGAACCCCGGCGAGGGGAGUGAAAAAGAACCUGAAACCGUGUACGUACAAGCAGUGGGAGCACGCUUAGGCGUGUGACUGCGUACCUUUUGUAUAAUGGGUCAGCGACUUAUAUUCUGUAGCAAGGUUAACCGAAUAGGGGAGCCGAAGGGAAACCGAGUCUUAACUGGGCGUUAAGUUGCAGGGUAUAGACCCGAAACCCGGUGAUCUAGCCAUGGGCAGGUUGAAGGUUGGGUAACACUAACUGGAGGACCGAACCGACUAAUGUUGAAAAAUUAGCGGAUGACUUGUGGCUGGGGGUGAAAGGCCAAUCAAACCGGGAGAUAGCUGGUUCUCCCCGAAAGCUAUUUAGGUAGCGCCUCGUGAAUUCAUCUCCGGGGGUAGAGCACUGUUUCGGCAAGGGGGUCAUCCCGACUUACCAACCCGAUGCAAACUGCGAAUACCGGAGAAUGUUAUCACGGGAGACACACGGCGGGUGCUAACGUCCGUCGUGAAGAGGGAAACAACCCAGACCGCCAGCUAAGGUCCCAAAGUCAUGGUUAAGUGGGAAACGAUGUGGGAAGGCCCAGACAGCCAGGAUGUUGGCUUAGAAGCAGCCAUCAUUUAAAGAAAGCGUAAUAGCUCACUGGUCGAGUCGGCCUGCGCGGAAGAUGUAACGGGGCUAAACCAUGCACCGAAGCUGCGGCAGCGACACUAUGUGUUGUUGGGUAGGGGAGCGUUCUGUAAGCCUGUGAAGGUGUACUGUGAGGUAUGCUGGAGGUAUCAGAAGUGCGAAUGCUGACAUAAGUAACGAUAAAGCGGGUGAAAAGCCCGCUCGCCGGAAGACCAAGGGUUCCUGUCCAACGUUAAUCGGGGCAGGGUGAGUCGACCCCUAAGGCGAGGCCGAAAGGCGUAGUCGAUGGGAAACAGGUUAAUAUUCCUGUACUUGGUGUUACUGCGAAGGGGGGACGGAGAAGGCUAUGUUGGCCGGGCGACGGUUGUCCCGGUUUAAGCGUGUAGGCUGGUUUUCCAGGCAAAUCCGGAAAAUCAAGGCUGAGGCGUGAUGACGAGGCACUACGGUGCUGAAGCAACAAAUGCCCUGCUUCCAGGAAAAGCCUCUAAGCAUCAGGUAACAUCAAAUCGUACCCCAAACCGACACAGGUGGUCAGGUAGAGAAUACCAAGGCGCUUGAGAGAACUCGGGUGAAGGAACUAGGCAAAAUGGUGCCGUAACUUCGGGAGAAGGCACGCUGAUAUGUAGGUGAAGUCCCUCGCGGAUGGAGCUGAAAUCAGUCGAAGAUACCAGCUGGCUGCAACUGUUUAUUAAAAACACAGCACUGUGCAAACACGAAAGUGGACGUAUACGGUGUGACGCCUGCCCGGUGCCGGAAGGUUAAUUGAUGGGGUUAGCGCAAGCGAAGCUCUUGAUCGAAGCCCCGGUAAACGGCGGCCGUAACUAUAACGGUCCUAAGGUAGCGAAAUUCCUUGUCGGGUAAGUUCCGACCUGCACGAAUGGCGUAAUGAUGGCCAGGCUGUCUCCACCCGAGACUCAGUGAAAUUGAACUCGCUGUGAAGAUGCAGUGUACCCGCGGCAAGACGGAAAGACCCCGUGAACCUUUACUAUAGCUUGACACUGAACAUUGAGCCUUGAUGUGUAGGAUAGGUGGGAGGCUUUGAAGUGUGGACGCCAGUCUGCAUGGAGCCG
rnacentral:rRNA from 1 species